UACGAAGGUCCCGAGCGUUGUUCGGAAUCACUGGGCGUAAAGGGAGCGUAGGCGGCGCGGUAAGUCAGAUGGUGAAAUCCCGGGGCUCAACCCCGGAACUGCAUCCGAUACUGCCGUGCUAGAGGAUUGGAGAGGUAGCUGGAAUUCUUGGUGUAGCAGUGAAAUGCGUGGAGAUCAAGAGGAACACUCGUGGCGAAAGCGAGCUACUGGACAAUAUCUGACGGCUGAGGCUAGCGAAGGCCCAGGGUAGCGAAAGGG
rnacentral:rRNA from 1 species